UACGGGGGGGGGUAAGCGUCGUUCGGAAUUACUGGGCGUAAAGGGCGCGUAGGCGGCCUUCUAAGUCGAACGUGAAAUCCCCGGGCUCAACCCGGGAACUGCGUCCGAUACUGGAAGGCUUGAAUCCGGGAGAGGGAUGCGGAAUUCCAGGUGUAGCGGUGAAAUGCGUAGAUAUCUGGAGGAACACCGGUGGCGAAAGCGGCGCGCUGGACCUCUCUGACGCU
rnacentral:rRNA from 1 species